rnacentral:lncRNA from 1 species
GAAAGCUGGAAUAUAUAAAAUAGGUACAAGAAACCAGUAGAAAAAUUUCAAGAAUUAAACUCAUUUUCCAGUGGCCUAUUAAUCUCAGAACAAUUAAACUGUGUAAUAAUGAAAACAAUCUGCAAAUAAGAAAUACACAUAAGAUUCAUACACAGAACAGCAUGGUUCCAAAUGGUGAAAAAAAAAUUAUUAGCUGACUUAAAAAUAAAAACAUUACCUGUUAAACUCAUUAUUUACAGGUACUUACAGAACGAUCUCACUCCUGUGCUAAUUUGCAAAAGGAGUAGAAGUCCAUGGUCUACAGAUCCACUUUAAUGAUAAAUGUGAGAAAGUGAUAAAAUAAUAAAUACCUUUACCAUUUUUACAAUAUUUCUUCAAUGCUGGGAAUUUUCUUCAGCAUUACACACAAAAUUAACUUCCACUUGAGCUUUCCAUAUUAUCUUUAUAGGAUUUUCACAGGACUCAAAAUAUUUGUUAAAUUGAAUUUUUUUGUUAUUUAAAAAAAAUAAUUAGGAUUUCAAUUCACUGUACAUAUUUUUGAAUAUUUCCUUAAUAUUACAUUGAAAUAUUAUCUUUAAAUACAAUAUUCUCAGUGUAAAGAACCUAAAGGGGAAAAAAUUUGUUUUCAAAGAACCAGACAAGCUUUGGAUUCACACUGAAAAUACUACCUUGAACAGUUUUAAUUCAUUCUGUAUUCCUACAUAUUUUGGUCAGAAUGUGGGACAAUUGAAGGCUUUUCUACAACACUUAUAUAUGCCUUUGAACUGAACUGGAAGGAUGGAGGGAUUCUAACACCCUGGCAUUCAUAAGGUAUUUCACCAUUAUGCAUUCUCUCAUAUGCUGAAUUUUGUGCGAUGAAUAAAAGUUUUUCCACACAGGUUUCUCUCUUCCAUAAGUGUGACAGUUAGAAAUAUACUUUCCCACAUUUAUUACCUUCAUAAGGUUGCUCUCCAGUAUGAGCUCUUACAUAUAUCAGAAAGUAAAACUAAAGACUUCACCAUAAAUUUUUGCCAUGUUUUCAAAGGAACUGGGAAAACUGAAGAUUUUACUUUGCUUUUUAUUCAAAGAAUUCUUCUCCAACAUGAGCCCUUGCAUGCAUUCCUAAUAAGCUUUUGAAGGUCUAAGGCUAUCCCACAUUCAUUACAUACACAGGGUUUCUCUCCAGUGCAAAUUCCUUUCUGUACUAGGAAAGUGAACUAGGACAGUAAAAGGUUUUCUUGAAUACCUUACAUUUAAUUUAUAGUAUCAGUUCAGUGUAUGUGAUUACUUGUCCUGAAAUGUCUGAAGAAGAAAUGAAGGCUUCCCCACACUCUUUAGUCACAGAACUCUACACAACAUGAGCACUUUCAUGCCUUAGAACUGCACUGGGAAAGCCAAAGG